rfam:Ricinus communis cultivar Hale ctg_1100012361864, whole genome shotgun sequence.
UACUCAUGGUGUGGGCAUUGCGAAAAAAGUGAUUUGAAGCGAUCCUAUGCUUCAUGAAAGGACUUAGUGUCCUUUUGAUAAAAAUUAAAAAUUUCAGCUCUUAAUUC